UGGUUCUGGCAUCGAUGAAGAACGCAGCGAAAUGCGAUAAGUAAUGUGAAUUGCAGAAUUCAGUGAAUCAUCGAAUCUUUGAACGCACAUUGCGCCCAUUAGUAUUCUAGUGGGCAUGCCUGUUCGAGCGUCAUUUCAACCCUCAAGCACUGCUUGGUGUUGGGGCGUCUGCAGCUCCGGCUGCAGGCCCUGAAAAACAGUGGCGGGCUCGCUAUAACUCCGAGCGUAGUAAUCUCUCUCGCUUUGGAAGUGUGGCGGUUCCCGGCCGUUAAACCCCCCAAUUUCUGAAUGUUGACCUCGGAUCAGGUAGGAAUACCCGCUGA
rnacentral:misc_RNA from 1 species